AGGAUGAACGCUGGCGGUCUGCUUAACACAUGCAAGUCGAACGGAGUAGCAAUACUUAGUGGCGGACGGGUGAGUAACGCGUGAGAAUCUACCUUCAGGACGGAGACAACAGUUGGAAACGACUGCUAACCCCCGAUGUACCGAAAGGGCAAAUAUUUAUAGCCUGAAGAAGAGCUCGCGUCCGAUUAGCUAGUUGGAGAGGUAAAAGCUCACCAAGGCGACGAUCGGUAGCUGGUCUGAGAGGACGAUCAGCCACACUGGGACUGAGACACGGUCCAGACUCCUACGGGAGGCAGCAGUGGGAAUAUUGGACAAUGGGCGCAAGCCUGAUCCAGCAAUGCCGCGUGUGUGAAGAAGGCCUUCGGGUUGUAAAGCACUUUUAUCAGGAACGAAAUACCAUUGGUUAAUAACCGGUGGGGCUGACGGUACCUGAGGAAUAAGCACCGGCUAACUUCGUGCCAGCAGCCGCGGUAA
rnacentral:rRNA from 1 species